UCUAUAGUCUAUCUAUUCUCUAAGACUAAAACUAACGCACUCCUAAUUCCUAAAUAAUCAAAAGACAAAAUCAUAGAAACCCAACCCUAACGCCUAAACCAGCAGCCACCGGCCACCAGUCCUCGUCAUCGUCGACUUCCACCAGCCACCAGUCUCCCUCUCUCCGUCUCGCCUCUCCCUCUCGCGGCUUCUUAUCUUCUUAUCCAGUGACUCAUACAUGGCUGAAAAUAUACAAAGUGAUAAGGUAAUGAUGGGUGAAAGUGGGGCUUCUAAUUCAAAUGCAACAAGUCAAUCUCAAAUAACAGAGUCAAAUAUAACCAAAAAAGGAGAAACAGGUCUGUUGUGUGGGAUCAUUUUACAGAAAUUAUUACUUCUGAAGGGAGUACAAAAGCAAAAUGUGACUAUUGCUUUAUUGAGUAUGUAUUUAAGACCAAAGACGAUUUAGCCAGCAAUGGAAAAGACCCUUCCGUAAUUGACGUGUAGUAUUAAUAUAUUUGUUACGGUGAAUGAAGUCGAAGCAUUAUAUGAGCUAUUCGAGAAAAUAAGCAGCUCUAUAGUUGAUGAUGGGCUCGUUCACAAGAUAUUUCUCUACUGUUUGAGCAGCAACUUUUGGUCUUGUUAAGCAACAACUUUUGGUCUUGUUGAGCAACAACUUAAUGGCAUCAGUCAGUUGGCUAAAUGACUGUUGAACUUGUUUAAUUCUUUCUGGUUUUGGUAGCAAGAAGGCAGACUAGUUCCUUCGUCACACAUGAUUUACAUUUUCGGCAUAUUAACUGAUGCAUUUUGGAUUCUAUCCCUCCUAUUGUAAAACUUAAUUUUCUAUUUCACGUUA